rnacentral:rRNA from 1 species
CCCUUAGAUGUUCGGGGCCGCACGCGCGCUACACUGAAGGAAUCAGCACGUCUUUCUCCUUGUCCGAAAGGACUGGGUAACCCGCUGAACCUCCUUCGUGCUAGGGAUUGGGGCUUGUAAUUCUUCCCCAUGAACGAGGAAUUCCCAGUAAGCGCGAGUCAUAAGCUCGCGUUGAUUACGUCCCUGCCCUUUGUACACACCGCCCGUCGCUACUACCGAUUGGAUGGUUUAGUGAGAUCCUCGGAUUGGUCCCGGAGCGGCCUCUGGUCGUGCCGGAGUGCUGAAAAGAAUGUCGAACUUGAUCAUCUAGAGGAAGUAAAAGUCGUAACA